AUCCAGACUCCUACGGGAGGCAGCAGUGGGGAAUAUUGCACAAUGGGGGAAACCCUGAUGCAGCGACGCCGCGUGAGCGAUGAAGUAUUUCGGUAUGUAAAGCUCUAUCAGCAGGGAAGAAGAUGACGGUACCUGACUAAGAAGCCCCGGCUAACUACGUGCCAGCAGCCGCGGUAAUACGUAGGGGGCAAGCGUUAUCCGGAUUUACUGGGUGUAAAGGGAGCGUAGACGGCGAUGCAAGCCAGAUGUGAAAGCCCGGGGCUCAACCCCGGGACUGCAUUUGGAACUGUGUGGCUGGAGUGUCGGAGAGGCAGGCGGAAUUCCUAGUGUAGCGGUGAAAUGCGUAGAUAUUAGGAGGAACACCAGUGGCGAAGGCGGCCUGCUGGACGAUGACUGACGUUGAGGCUCGAAAGCGUGGGGAGCAAACAGGAUUAGAUACCCCGGUAUG
rnacentral:rRNA from 1 species